AGGUCCACAUAAACGGGAGUCGAAAGAGAACAUCGGAAAUACACCGUACCGGAGGAUCUGCCUAUUCUGUCUCGUUGCAUCCGCCCUCAUCGCGAUAGUGGCCGGGCUCUCGAUCUAUGUGUUACAGAUACGUCAGUCUCAAAUCACCUCCAACCGAAACCAACAGAUACUCUGCCAAUUCCUGAAAACUAGUAGAGAGCAAUCGUGUUCCCAGGACUGGAUCAAAAAUGAAGACCGCUGUUAUUUCAUAUCCACGUUGGAAACAUCUUACGAUGGAGCGAAGAAAAAUUGUUCAAACUUUGAUGCAAGAUUGCUGGAAAUAAAUUCAAAGGAGGAGGAGAAUGUUGUUUCAAACGCUCUCGUUCAUCAAGACAGAACAUAUUGGAUUGCAAAAUGCGCACACGGGUGAGAUUCGGAAUUUUACUGGCCUGUGGCUUGGGACGGCGUCAGUGGGAUGCGUUUGGAGACACACUGGGACU